rnacentral:rRNA from 1 species
AUUGAACGCUGGCGGCAUGCCUUACACAUGCAAGUCGAACGGUAACAGGUCUUCGGAUGCUGACGAGUGGCGAACGGGUGAGUAAUACAUCGGAACGUGCCCGAUCGUGGGGGAUAACGGAGCGAAAGCUUUGCUAAUACCGCAUGCGAUCUACGGAUGAAAGCAGGGGACCGCAAGGCCUUGCGCGGACGGAGCGGCCGAUGGCAGAUUAGGUAGUUGGUGGGAUAAAAGCUUACCAAGCCGACGAUCUGUAGCUGGUCUGAGAGGACGACCAGCCACACUGGGACGGAGACACGGCCCAGACUCCUACAGGAGGCAGCAGUGGGGAAUUUUGGACAAUGGGCGAAAGCCUGAUCCAGCCAUGCCGCGUGCAGGAUGAAGGCCUUCGGGUUGUAAACUGCUUUUGUACGGAACGAAACGGUCCUGGUUAAUACCUGGGGCUAAUGACGGUACCGUAAGAAUAAGCACCGGCUAACUACGUGCCAGCCGCCGCCGUAACAC